CCCUUAGAUGUUCUGGGCCGCACGCGCGCUACACUGAUGCAUUCAACGAGUCUAAAACCUGCUCUGAUAGGGGUGGGUAAUCUUUUGAAUGUGCAUCGUGAUUGGGAUAGAUGAUUGCAAUUUUUCAUCUUCAACGAGGAAUGCCUAGUAAACGCAAGUCAUCAGCUUGCAUUGAUUACGUCCCUGCCCUUUGUACACACCGCCCGUCGCGCCUACCGAUUGAAUGAUCCGAUGAAUAUCAUGGAUUGAGGAUGCAAGUAGGUUCGCCUAUCUUCAUCUUCGAGAAGUGAAGUAAAUCUUAUCAUUUAGAGGAAGGAGAAGUCGUAACA
rnacentral:rRNA from 1 species